rfam:Nomascus leucogenys chromosome 21, whole genome shotgun sequence.
GCUGGGCAUGGUGGCAUGUGCCUGUAGUCCCAGCUACUUGAGAGGGGGAGGCGGGAGGAUCCCGUGAGCCUAGGAGUUCGCUAGCAGGAUCAGGUGUCCACACCAAGUUUGGCAUCAAUAUGGUGACCUCCCAGGAGCAGGGAACCACCAGGUUGCCCAAGGAGUGGUGAGCUGGCCCAGGUUAGAAACAGAGCAGGUCAAAACUCCUGUGUUGAUCAGAAAGUUAAAGUAUCUUUCUCAACCUCAGUUUCCUCAUGUGGAAAAUGAAACCUACCUCUG